rnacentral:rRNA from 1 species
CACCGCGGUUAAACGAGAGGCCCCAGUUGAUAACACCACGGCGUAAGGGUGGUUAAGGGAGCAACAUAAUAAAGCCGAAUGGCCCUUUGGCCGUCAUACGCUUCUAGGUGUCCGAAGCCCAAUCGCACGAAAGUAGCUUUAGUAAAGCCCACCUGACCCCACGAAAGCUGAGAAACAAACUGGGAUUAGAUACCCCACUAUGCUCAGCCAUAAACCUAGACAUCCAACUACAAUUAGACGUCCGCCCGGGUACUACGAGCAUCAGCUUGAAACCCAAAGGACCUGACGGUGCCUUAGACCCCCCUAGAGGAGCCUGUUCUAGAACCGAUAACCCCCGUUAAACCUCACCACUUCUAGCCAUCCCAGCCUAUAUACCGCCGUCGUCAGCUUACCCUGUGAAGGCAAUAAAAGUAAGCAAAAUGGGCACAACCCAGAACGUCAGGUCGAGGUGUAGCGCACGAAGUGGGAAGAAAUGGGCUACAUUUUCUAUUAUAGAACACUACGAAUACGCAACAUGAAAUAGUGCUUGAAGGAGGAUUUAGUAGUAAAAAGGAAACAGAGUGUCCUUUUGAACCCGGCUCUGAGGCGCGUACACACCGCCCGUCACUCUCCCCUGUCAAAACGCAAUGAAGAUUCCUAACACUAAAGCACUGACAAGGGGAGGCAAGUCGUAACAUGGUAAGUGUACCGGAAGGUGCACUUGGAUUAAACCCAGGGCGUGGCUGAG